ACGUGGUAAUUCAUUAUGAAGUAAUAGUAAUUCACUAUUUCUCAAGGAACAUGAACUAGUGACCAUCUGCUGAAAGGUGUAUACAGCAGCUUUCUUUCUCGUGCUUCUGGUACCCUUGAGGGAAAGGCACUGCAGGACUGGGUCAUCUCAUGUGGAACUCCUUGUAGACUUACAGAAGUAACACUGCUGGAGAUGUGGAAUGAGCUCAUUAACAGGGAAAUGAUGCCGCUGCAAUGCCUGCCCUGCAACUGAGGGCCUGAUGUGAGCAUAUUAUGCUGGCCUCACCAAAAUGCCCUUUUUCAGAGGAAGAAAAUUGCUUUGCAAAGGCUGUGAUUGACUGGAUGACCUGGGGAAAAACCCUUCACAAUAAAAUAAGGCUUAUACAUAUUUUUCAGGAAACAGGAUUAACUGUGGGCAUUGUGAAUGAAGUGGAGAAGAGUAAGUAAAAUAAAAUUACAUAAUGUGCUUGAGAACUUGAUUUGUUUUUAAUCUGUGCAGCCAAAUGUAACCAAUCUGGAGACUUCAGGAGCACCCCACAACAAUCCUCUUACAAAGCCAAUUUUGUAGCCUUGCUGUCACAGUUACCUGGUGUAUCUGGGAGAUGAGGCUCCGCACACCCUGAGGAGCCCUGGAACAGCUUUUCUUCCACUCCUGAGAAAGGUUGCUGUGUGCAUCUUUGUUUGUAUCCCAAGACAUUUUGCCAAUCCAUAUGUCCACUUUCGUAACCUGGGAGGUUAAGCACCUGCAGAAUGAGUUUAAUGGGAAAAUGUGAGGUAUAGGAAGACAGAGGAAAGAUCUACACUCCAAGUCACAGGAGUUUUCUACUGCUGUCAUUCUAGGUUGCUGGUCUCUUCUCAUUUGUCUAAAUCUGGUUAUUGAAAACUAUAGGAGGAGGAACAACUAAUUUUGGUGGUGUCCUGGUUGCAGGCUGGGGACAUGGUGUGGCUCUGUUGCUGUUCUAUACCACCCACAUGUCAUUUCUGGGGACACAGUUUUGGGGGGAAGCAAAGGUGAGUGUGUCACCACAAGUGCAGGGAAAACAAACUCUCCAACAACAUAUUUUCAGUGUUAGAGACUUAGCAUUAAGUUAUUCUGGCCAGGAGGUUCUUUUGGCCUGGAUGUGCAAUAGAAAUAAUUUCAUCUACACAUGCCUGGGUUCUGCACUGAACCCAGUGAAAAUCACUCCAUCAUACUUGGUUCUCAACCAGACCUUUCACAUAUUUAUACAUAAAACCCUAAAUAAAUUCUCAUUCAUUGGGCCUAAAUUACACAAUUCUUAACAUUCAAUCUCCUAUUGGUUAUUGAUCCCUUUGCCUUUGAUGCUAAUAGAAUGAUGGUCCUCAUUCUGUGGUUCUCUUACCAAUCUUUUCCCAAACCAAGUGUCUCUGACCACACUACAGGGUGAUGUUUGUUUAUAUUUAUCUCCUGUGUAUCUUGUGGCUACUCCCAAACAGUAGAUGUUAAACUCAUCGGGCCUCACCUAGCAUUGAUGACAGCCUUUUGAAGAGAAACUUCAAUUCUCCUUUCCCUGGGGUGAAAGUGAACAAUCCCCUGACUAAAGCUACAUAAAAAAAAUUUAAAGGUUGUAAAAUUUCCAACGAGUGCACCAUUUUUGCCUCCCUCUCCCCAGUGGGAAGGCUGUCGGCAUCAGCCCUGAGGACCCCAUCCUUUGCCAUCGCUGCUAUCUCCUCCUUUUUUCUCUGAGACACAGCUACAGGACAUGGUGCUAAAGAAAAAGCAUCAGAACACAGAAUCCAUAUGGUGCUGAAGGACAGUGCUGGGGAACUGAGGAGUGGGGGUGAGCCCCAAUCCAGCUGAGCUGGAGGAAGCUGAGCCAAGCUGAGCUGAAAGGAGCUGAGCAGAGUUGGGACAGGAGGGAGCUGGCAGCGAGAGAACAACCACCAUCUUGGCCACUAUCCUGCUGUUCCAGGGCCACGUGGAACUAAGUUGAGGUUCUAAACAUCUUUUUGUGGGUAAAGCAUCUUCUUUUAUAUAUACUCUUGUUACCGAUAUUGCUGCUGUUACUGUUUCUUAUUCCAUUGCUUGUUGCUUUCAGUAAAUUGUUAUCCCAA